AGUGUUCCCCCGCCCGCUUUGUGUGCGCUUGCGCGCCUGCGGCGCCGCGGCGCGAACUCUCUGAGUUGCAGUCGUCUUGCUCCUCCUGUUCGCUGCAGGUCGCCGGCGCCCCGACCCCGAGGCCCAGGACGCCAGGACGGCAGGGAGGCAAGCUCUGCUCUCAGCGCUCAACGAAGCUGGUGGUCUGAGUCGACCGCGUGUGACUGCCCUUGGCCCCCCCAGCCAUCAGCCUGGGAGGUGCAUCUCUGGGACGCAGGGAGCAAGGUGUUUGUGGAGGGGAGAGACUCUGGGGUACCUCCUCUUCGCGACCAGUCCAACUCUGUGUUGGAUGGCGUAGACGGGUACACCGUGGCUCUCGGAGGUUGGCAGGUGACUCGUUAGUCAUUCUGUAAGUGGCAGAACUACAUUGGAGACCCAGGUGUGCUCCUCCACACCCCAUACCUUGUCCAGGAGCAGAUAAAGUUUUUUCGAGCUUGGUGGUGAGUUGGGCUGGGGCAGCAAACCACCAGAAAGUGAGAAUACAGAGAAACAAGGCUAAAAUAUGGGGGGGGGGGGGUGAGGAAGGGGGAGCCCUACCGCUCAAUAUCAAUUACAGACCCUAUCAGGGAAAGCUGUGUGGAUCACUCCUGCGACUCAGCCAGUGAGAAACCGCCAUCACCCUGAACUCUUGCUUUUGUCUGGUGGACGUCGGUUCAAAAAAAUCUCUCCCGGUUUUUUCUUUCCACAAAAUAAAGAUUUCCUUUGUUUGUUGGC